AAAUUGAAGAGUUUGAUCAUGGCUCAGAUUGAACGCUGGCGGCAGGCCUAACACAUGCAAGUCGAACGGUAACAGGAAGCAGCUUGCUGCUUUGCUGACGAGUGGCGGACGGGUGAGUAAUGUCUGGGAAACUGCCUGAUGGAGGGGGAUAACUACUGGAAACGGUGGCUAAUACCGCAUAACGUCGCAAGACCAAAGAGGGGGACCUUCGGGCCUCUUGCCAUCAGAUGUGCCCAGAUGGGAUUAGCUUGUUGGUGAGGUAACGGCUCACCAAGGCGACGAUCCCUAGCUGGUCUGAGAGGAUGACCAGCCACACUGGAACUGAGACACGGUCCAGACUCCUACGGGAGGCAGCAGUGGGGAAUAUUGCACAAUGGGCGCAAGCCUGAUGCAGCCAUGCCGCGUGUAUGAAGAAGGCCUUCGGGUUGUAAAGUACUUUCAGCGGGGAGGAAGGUGUUGUGGUUAAUAACCGCAGCAAUUGACGUUACCCGCAGAAGAAGCACCGGCUAACUCCGUGCCAGCAGCCGCGGUAAUACGGAGGGUGCAAGCGUUAAUCGGAAUUACUGGGCGUAAAGCGCACGCAGGCGGUCUGUCAAGUCGGAUGUGAAAUCCCCGGGCUCAACCUGGGAACUGCAUUCGAAACUGGCAGGCUUGAGUCUUGUAGAGGGGGGUGGAAUUCCAGGUGUAGCGGUGAAAUGCGUAGAGAUCUGGAGGAAUACCGGUGGCGAAGGCGGCCCCCUGGACAAAGACUGACGCUCAGGUGCGAAAGCGUGGGGAGCAAACAGGAUUAGAUACCCUGGUAGUCCACGCCGUAAACGAUGUCUACUUGGAGGUUGUGCCCUUGAGGCGUGGCUUCCGGAGCUAACGCGUUAAGUAGACCGCCUGGGGAGUACGGCCGCAAGGUUAAAACUCAAAUGAAUUGACGGGGGCCCGCACAAGCGGUGGAGCAUGUGGUUUAAUUCGAUGCAACGCGAAGAACCUUACCUGGUCUUGACAUCCACAGAACUUUCCAGAGAUGGAUUGGUGCCUUCGGGAACUGUGAGACAGGUGCUGCAUGGCUGUCGUCAGCUCGUGUUGUGAAAUGUUGGGUUAAGUCCCGCAACGAGCGCAACCCUUAUCCUUUGUUGCCAGCGGUCCGGCCGGGAACUCAAAGGAGACUGCCAGUGAUAAACUGGAGGAAGGUGGGGAUGACGUCAAGUCAUCAUGGCCCUUACGACCAGGGCUACACACGUGCUACAAUGGCGCAUACAAAGAGAAGCGACCUCGCGAGAGCAAGCGGACCUCAUAAAGUGCGUCGUAGUCCGGAUUGGAGUCUGCAACUCGACUCCAUGAAGUCGGAAUCGCUAGUAAUCGUGGAUCAGAAUGCCACGGUGAAUACGUUCCCGGGCCUUGUACACACCGCCCGUCACACCAUGGGAGUGGGUUGCAAAAGAAGUAGGUAGCUUAACCUUCGGGAGGGCGCUUACCACUUUGUGAUUCAUGACUGGGGUGAAGUCGUAACAAGGUAACCGUAGGGGAACCUGCGG
rnacentral:rRNA from 1 species